GACGAACGCUGGCGGCGUGCUUAACACAUGCAAGUCGAACGGAAAGGCCCUGCUUUUGUGGGGUGCUCGAGUGGCGAACAGGUGAGUAACACGUAAGUAACCUGCCCUUGACUUUGGGAUAACUUCAGGAAACUGGGGCUAAUACCGGAUAGGAGCUCCUGCUGCAUGGUGGGGGUUGGAAAGUUUCGGCGGUUGGGGAUGGACUCGCGGCUUAUCAGCUUGUUGGUGGGGUAGUGGCUUACCAAGGCUUUGACGGGUAGCCGGCCUGAGAGGGUGACCGGCCACAUUGGGACUGAGAUACGGCCCAGACUCCUACGGGAGGCAGCAGUGGGGAAUAUUGCACAAUGGGCGGAAGCCUGAUGCAGCAACGCCGCGUGCGGGAUGACGGCCUUCGGGUUGUAAACCGCUUUCGCCUGUGACGAAGCGUGAGUGACGGUAAUGGGUAAAGAAGCACCGGCUAACUACGUG
rnacentral:rRNA from 1 species